GAAUCCCGUCUUUGGCACGGAUGCCUGGUGCUUCUGCGAUGCGCUCUCGAAGAGUCGAGUUGUUUGGGAAUGCAGCUCAAAAUGGGUGGUGAACUCCAUCUAAAGCUAAAUACUGGCGAGAGACCGAUAGCGAACAAGUACCGUGAGGGAAAGAUGAAAAGCACUUUGGAAAGAGAGUGAAACAGUACGUGAAAUUGUUGAAAGGGAAACGCUUGAAGUCAGUCACGUCGACCGAGACUCAGCCUUGCCUUGGCUUGGUGUACUUCUCGGCCCGACGGGUCAGCAUCAAUUUUGCCCUUCGGAUAAUGGCGAGAGAAAGGUGGCACCCUCACGGGUGUGUUAUAGUCUCCCGUCGGAUGCGAGGGUUGGGAUUGAGGAACUCGGCACGUACCGUGCUUAGGAUGUUGGCAUAAUGGCUUUAAACGACCCGUCUUGAAACACGGACCAAGGAGUCUAACAUGCCCGCGAGUGUUCGGGUGGAAAACCCGUGCGCGUAAUGAAAGUAAAAGUUGGGACCCCUGUCGUGGGGGGCACCGACGCCCGGACCAGACCUUCUGUGACGGAUCUGCGGUAGAGCGUGCAUGUUGGGACCCGAAAGAUGGUGAACUAUGCCUGAAUAGGGUGAAGCCAGAGGAAACUCUGGUGGAGGCUCGUAGCGAUUCUGACGUGCAAAUCGAUCGUCAAAUUUGGGUAUAGGGGCGAAAGACUAAUCGAACCAUCUAGUAGCUGGUUCCUGCC
rnacentral:rRNA from 1 species